rnacentral:lncRNA from 1 species
UGACCGGCCAGACUUAAAUUCCUGUAAUCAUGCUGCCAGGUCCCGUCUGUAAAAUAUUUCUUUGUCGAUGUCUAAUAUUUUUAGCAUAAACAGCGAUGCGAAAGUCGUCGAAGCAUUGCGAGUGCCCUCUUGUGUUUUCCGUUGAAUAGAGCAUACCGAGUUGCGUAACAAUUUGCAUAUGACAUGCAGUGCGAAAAAGUCUUUUAUUCCGUGCAGUGUUUCAAAAGCAUAGGGCUUCGGACGCACAUUCCGUGAAUUUUUCGCUAGUUUUCUUGGAGAGUAAGCAAGCAUGGGUAGGUCACUUGACUGCUUGUCGUUGCUGCUGCCAGCCACACCUUAUUGCGAGCCAGCUUGUCUAUAUUUUGCUGUGUUUCUCACGUGGUUUUGCCAUGGUUAGCACGCCGCAUGUGCAUACACAUAUCAUGUACAUGCAUAUCGUGUAGUUUGCCCAAACAUCCCGAGGCAUAGGUACACAGGCCACAACUGCUCCGCUACUGCUUGUGGUUCUGUGGUUCCUGAGUGGUCACAAAUAGAGAAGCCUUCUCGAGUAGACCAGUGUAUCCCAUAUCCAGCAUCCAUAAUAUUUGGGUACGUGUGUAAAACAUUAUUGCUUGAAAUGUGCCUUGGAAAUUGGAGAUUUGGAGAUUUGGAGAUUUGGAGAUUAAUGUGUUGUAAAAUUAUUGCAUAGCAAGUGCUUAUGGAGAUUAUUUCUCCUUGAUUAAAUUUUUAUGCCUUUAAUAUUUUUAUGCCUCUCUAAGAAAUGUACUUGUAAAUUCGCAGCAAAAACAUUUCUAUGGAACAAAUCAAUGGAAAUUGAGG